GACGUAGGUGGCGAGCGUUAUCCGGAAUUAUUGGGCGUAAAGGAUGCGUAGAUGGUGUAGUAAGUUAUCGGUGGCAAAUCGAGGCUCAACCUCGCGGAAGUCGGUAAUACUGCUAUGCUAGAGGAUAGGAGAGGUUAACGGAACUCCCUGUGGAGCGGUGAAAUGCGUAGAUAUAGGGAAGAACACCAAUCAGGCGAAGGCAGUUAACUAUUCUAUUCCUGACAUUGAGGCAUGAAAGCGUGGGGAGCAAAACGG
rnacentral:rRNA from 1 species